GCUGGCCUCACUUGGCUCAUAAUGAAGCCCCGGAUUGUGUGCUGGGGCUGGAGAAGCCACAGGAGCUGUUGCCGCUGGGGCCUGCGCAGAGGACAGCAGGAAGGCACAGGGCUGUCCCUGCAUGAGGAAAUCACUGAGACCUGUGCUUGUGUGAGGGAUGGUUCAUACAAGUAUUGAAGGUCCACAUCACCAGCAUUGGCCACCUCGAGGACCAGCCUCCAGCCAGGCAGCUCUGCCCCGGAGAGGAGACACGCCUGGCCAGGACCAGCUACAGGAUUUGCAGGCCCCAUCGCAAGAUGAAAAUGAGGGAUCCAUGGUUCGAAAAUGACUAAGAAUGUCAAGCCGGUUUCAGCAGAGCAAGCAUGGGCCCUUCUGAGUGCAGGGACAGCCUAGGUGUCACCCCACGAAGCCAGCCCCAGACCCCACAUGUGGAGGAACUCACUGCUCAACCUAAACCGUCUGCUGAGGGAGGCCCAGUCGCACCCAGGCUUUCCCGCAGCCCCUUCCAGUGGGAUUCCCACAACACCUUUCCUCCCCAAAGCACCCUGCCUUCCUCUGGAAAGGGGCCUGGGAUGUCCCCUUAUAAUAACCUAUCAAGUGAGCAUUUGGCAAACGGGCUCUGUAUUUGUGUUAUAUGGAACAACGAAAAUGUUCUUGGGAAGAAACUUUAACUCCAGAGCUCACCUCCUGCUUGGAGCAAGUGACGUCUCCUGCAACUAAGUGAGAGUCAUGUGGGGUUGGGAGCGAGCGCUUUGAGGCCAGGACAGGGACUGGGAGAAAAGUGGCCCAGGCUGGAUGCCAUGGCUCACGCCUGUAAUCCCAGCACUUUGGGAGGCCAAGGCAGGCAGAUAACGAGGUCAGGAGAUCAAGACCAUCCUGGCCAACAUGGUGAAACCCCGUCUCUACUAAAAACACAAAAAUUAGCUGGGCAUGGUGGCACGUGCCUGUAAUCCCAGCUACUUGGGAGGCUGAGGCAGAAGAAUAGCUUGAAGCAGGGAGUCGGAGGUUGCAGUGAUCCGAGAUUGUGCCACUGCACUCCAGCCUGCGUGACAGCAAGACUCUGUCAGGGAAAAUAAAAAAAAAAAAGUGGCCCAGUGAGCACAGGUCCGCAGCUGAACCCCAGAAAGUAGGAUUCAGACAGAGACAGGGGAAGUGAUUUUGCUAGGAGGAAGAAAAGACAGACCGCAGGACCCGAGGACUCAAGGGUCCAUUUCCCUAGAACGUUGUAAUCAGUCUUCCAGAUCCUUGGCCACUCAGAGGAGCACCUUGCACGUUUCGAAAGGUGCCCAGGAAAUGUGUACUGAGUUGCAUCAGUGAGUGAAUUCGUGAUGCCGGGAUUAGAAGGGGAACCCUCCUUGGAAGCUCCUCUGCCUCAGUUCUCGGCGACCCUGGUGUUCACCCAGCGGGACCCGCCUCCCAAGCAGCAGACCCUGGAGCCUCGAGCUGACACGUCAGUCCUUGUGCUUCGUGCAGAUUUCGAAGGAACUCCAGACAAACUUCAUUCACUUCAAACCCCGUCCCCUUGACCUAUUUCCAGUAUCCAGAGCCCUUAUGAUUCCAGCUCCUUUUAACAUAUGAAACCGCUUUUGAAAGAUGGUGGUUGCUAAUUCAUGAAGCCGUUGACUCCCCAGAUGACGUUCCUGUGAAACGCUUGGCAGUUGCAAGAGGAACUUGGGUCCUCAGUGCCAUUUACCAAGGUUGACAAGGUCAAGUGGCAUUACCGUGUCAUCGUCACAUCAGUAUUUGACUGCGGAAGCUGAAAGCCCAUUAGAUAAUUACAUAAACA